rnacentral:rRNA from 1 species
GAUGAACGCUGGCGGCGUGCCUAAUACAUGCAAGUCGAGCGAACAGAUAAGGAGCUUGCUCCUUUGACGUUAGCGGCGGACGGGUGAGUAACACGUGGGUAACCUACCUAUAAGACUGGGAUAACUUCGGGAAACCGGAGCUAAUACCGGAUAACAUUUGGAACCGCAUGGUUCUAAAGUGAAAGAUGGUUUUGCUAUCAUUUAUAGAUGGACCCGCGCCGUAUUAGCUAGUUGGUAAGGUAACGGCUUACCAAGGCAACGAUACGUAGCCGACCUGAGAGGGUGAUCGGCCACACUGGAACUGAGACACGGUCCAGACUCCUACGGGAGGCAGCAGUAGGGAAUCUUCCGCAAUGGGCGAAAGCCUGACGGAGCAACGCCGCGUGAGUGAUGAAGGGUUUCGGCUCGUAAAACUCUGUUAUUAGGGAAGAACAAACGUGUAAGUAACUGUGCACGUCUUGACGGUACCUAAUCAGAAAGCCACGGCUAACUACGUG